GGGGCUUCAAUGCUACAAAGGGAAAGAGCAGAGCAAUGAGGCAGCAGCCAGUGCCCAGGCAUUCCAGCCGUUGUGAGCGGAGAAGAGAGACGAUAAGAACAAGAAGAGAAUGAUAGGAGCGGCAAGCUAGCCAGUUCGUCGUUCUAGCCUGAGGCCAGAGGCAGGAGAAGCCAACCAAGAAGCGAGUCGCUGCUGCCUCUUCUCCGCCAGGCCGCGCUGGUGCCAACAGAGGCAAGAAAACCAAGGAGAGGAUGAGAAACUCCGCCCAGCGGUACUGCUGCUGCUGUUCUUCAUUGGAGUACAGUUUCCAUGUGUUUCUCCUCCGACUGUGUACGCUGAUGCUGCGGGAACGGCAGACGUCGCCUCCGCACACACCCCCAAGGACACCAAUUUCCCAGCGCCAAAUAGAAAAUGCACAUGUGAAAUCGAGAGUUUCUGCACUCCGAGCACAGAGUUAGCCAAGACUGUUCCUUGGAUAGCCUUUAUCUUAUCGAGUUUCGUUUCACUUGUUCCAGCUAUCCGUGUUGGGAAGCUAGGACCUGAUGGUCAAGGUGGUAGCCAUACCUUAUUCUGGUGGUUUCUGAUCUUCAACCUAUGGGGCUACAUCAUGUGGAACGUGUACACCAAAUCGUGUAACCGUUUUGACCCAAUCCGAGUGGCAUCUUUUAUUGGGGCCGCGAUCAGUUUUGUUCUUUUUGUCAAAGCGUAUAAGAAGCUGCCAAAGAGAGGGGGGUACUAGCUCUUUAAGCAUAUAUGUGUACAAUUAUGUGUAGUUAUUUGUAAACGUGGUUAGCUGAUUCUUUUGUAUGAUUUCAGGAUUUGAGAUGGUAUACCACAUUUCACACGGUCGUUGGGUUCCUCCUAUUCACUGCUGUUGUAAGCACGCAAGCCAGUCUCCUCGGUUGGAGUUGCCUAGGAGUUACUGUCGUUGCACAUUUCUUCAGGAUAAGUGCCACUGACUACUCUCAGUUCAACAUCAUACUGUUUUGCGCAUCAAUUAUUGGAACUAUUAGUGGCUUCCUUUGGCUAGUCCACCCAGACCUGUGUAUUGCGAAGCAUUACAAACUGUCUCCGAGGGCUGGAGACUUUCAUGUGGUGCGCUCCAAAAAUCGCACAGAUAUUGGCCACGCUGGAGGGUCACCAUAGGAAUGAAUGAGGAUCCAGUUGGCAGUAAAAAGAACUACGGUGGAUGCAGAAUCAAGCUAGAGACGCUUAUCAUCUGGAUUUAUGUUUUUAUUCAUGCAUACCCAAGUAUUUUACAUCAACGCUCAUUCGAUUCGAUGCGAAUAUUAUUUUUUACCAAGACCGAAUGGAACUUGCAGAGUGAUGCGUCUGAAA